AGAAAUGGCAGCAGCCAGAACUCGCCAUCUUAUCCAGCACGUUAUGGGUACACUCUGGCGGCUCCUACUCCUGCGUCCUACCACCACCCUGUCCUGACUGCGUCUACUAGGGAGUUGGGAGCCUUUGGCGGCUUCUGCCACUGCAUCCUGCCGCCACCAUGUCCCGACUACGUCCACUAGGGAGUUGGCAGCCUUAGUGAUGAUGCCAGCAGGCUGACAGCCGACAGAAAGAUUCAGGUUGCCUCGGAAUUUUACCCAAGCCAUGCCGCACACUUGGGCCAGGCCUCUUGCGAACGACGUAUAACCAGGCUCAACGCAUCAGUGUCGAGUGAGUCCGGAGAUCAAGGCAACCUGCUGUGCAACCAGCGUGCAACCUUUGGUGACCCCUCUAAUGUUCUACCUAUUUCAGAGCUGUGCCUCACCUACCAUCUAUCCAAACAGCAUCACCAUCUGUGAUCACUUAUCGAACCAUGGAUGAAUGUUGGGGUGGAGUGAUUUGAACAGACAUUCAAUUUGUCUCUUCAAAUUCUUUGCAAAUACUUCUGCUAUUAUAAU
rnacentral:lncRNA from 1 species